rnacentral:rRNA from 1 species
UUAAGCUAUAAAGAGCACAGGGUGGAUGCCUAGGCACUGAGAGCCGAUGAAGGACGUGAUAAGCUGCGAAAAGCCACGGGGAGGAGCAAAUAUCCUUUGAGCCGUGGAUAUCCGAAUGGGGGAACCCACUUAAGUAAACCUUAAGUACUGACAAGCCAAUACAUAACUUGCCAGAGGGAACCCGGGGAACUGAAACAUCUAAGUACCCGGAGGAAGAGAAAGAAACAUCGAUUUCCUUAGUAGCGGCGAGCGAAAGGGAAAGAGCCCAAACCGAGAGAUUUAUCUUUCGGGGUUAGGACUGCAUAAUUGAUCUGCGAUUGAUAGGAGAAUGGUCUGGGAAGUCCAGCAGGAAAGCGUGAAAGCCGCGUAUCCGAAAUUGAAAGCAGCAAGGCAGUAUCCAGAGUACCACGAGACACGAGGAACCUUGUGGGAAUGAGCGGAGACCACUCCGUAAGGCUAAAUACUACUCAGUGACCGAUAGCGCAUAGUACUGUGAAGGAAAGGUGAAAAGGACCCCGGGAGGGGAGUGAAAGAGAACCUGAAACCCUGUGUUUACAAGCUGUGGAACUACGUUAAGGUAGGACCGCGUACUUUUUGUAGAACGGUCCGGCGAGUUUCUUGUACCGGCAAGGUUAAGCACUUAAGGUGCGGAGCCGAAGUGAAAGCAAGUGUUAACAGCACGCAUAAGUCAGUACAAGAAGACCCGAAACCGGGUGAUCUACCCAUGUCCAGGUUGAAGUCGCCGUAAAAGGCGAUGGAGGACCGAACGCACAUCCGUUGAAAAGGGUGGCGAUGAGGUGUGGGUAGGGGAGAAAUUCCAAUCGAACCCGGAGAUAGCUGGUUCUCCUCGAAAUAGCUUUAGGGCUAGCCUCGUAUUAGUCUUGCGGAGGUAGAGCACUGAAUAUCCUAGGGGGCGUCAAAGCUUACCGAAGAUUAUCAAACUCCGAAUGCCGCGUAGAUGAUGUACGGGAGUCAGACUGCACGAGAUAAGUUGGGUAGUCAAAAGGGAAAGAGCCCAGACCACCAGCUAAGGUCCCAAAGUGCGUGUUAAGUGGUAAAGGAUGUGGGAUUUCGAAGACAACUAGGAUGUUGGCUCAGAAGCAGCCAUACAUUCAAAGAGUGCGUAAUAGCUCACUAGUCGAGAGGUCCUGCGCCGAAAAUGUCCGGGGCUAAAACACGACACCGAAGCUGUGGAUCCGAAAGGAUGGUAGAGGAGCAUUCUUAAGUCGACGAAGCUGUACUGUAAGGAGCAGUGGAGAGUUAAGAAGAGAGAAUGCCGGAAUGAGUAGCGAGAUUUAAGUGAGAAUCUUAAAGGCCGAAUAUCUAAGGUUUCCAGGGUAAAGCUGAUCUUCCCUGGGUAAGUCGGGGCCUAAGGCGAGGGCGAGAGCCGUAGUCGAUGGAUAACAGGUUGAAAUUCCUGUACUGCUUAUGGACAGAACUGUGGGGACGCAGAAGGAGAGCACGAGCCGGAAAUGGAAAAGCCGGUACAAGCGUAUAGCAGUCAUGCAGGCAAAACCGCAUGAAAAAUGUAAAGCGUUAUGUGGAUCGAACAUUAGUAGAGAAGCGUGUGAGCCAGCUGCCAAGAAAAGCCGCUAUUGUUUCAUAAGUACCCGUACCGUAAACCGACACAGGUGGAUGAGGAGAGAAUCCUAAGGCCGGCGGGAGAAGUGUUGUUAAGGAACUCGGCAAAAUGACUCCGUAACUUCGGGAGAAGGAGUGCCACAGAGAUGUGGCCGCAGAGAAAUGGCCCAAGCAACUGUUUAGCAAAAACACAGGUCUAUGCAAAACCGAAAGGUGAGGUAUAUGGGCUGACGCCUGCCCGGUGCUGGAAGGUUAAGAGGAGAUGUUAGAGCAAUCGAAGCAUUGAAUUUAAGCCCCAGUAAACGGCGGCCGUAACUAUAACGGUCCUAAGGUAGCGAAAUUCCUUGUCGGGUAAGUUCCGACCC